GUCCCAAAUCACGCCAAAGUAAGUUCUGAAAAAAUAAUUUAUACUGAAACAAUAAAAAUCAUACAUUUAAUCAAUGGUCGUAACAUUUAGGAGCCUCAAAUGUUUGUUCAUUGUCAAUGACGCUGCUCAUAACGGGCGGAUAGAGUGACUAAAUUUGAGAAUGCAUUUCUAUACAUUUAAAGUGUAAAUAAUUGUUCUCAUUACCGAAUUAAGUUAGUUAUGACGUUCUUAUGGAAAGGGAUCAGUCCCUCAUUCCUUCAUUUGCUAUAAAUUUUCAAUAGUUUCUUCAGUGCAAAAUAUUCAUAUUUAAUUUAUAAUAUAAUUUGUAGAGUUGAGGCCGUGAACAAUGUUUCUGAGUGGUAUAUAUAUGAGGCUUUUACCAGCCAUUCCUAAAAUGAACAGCACCAUGACGUAACUGAUCUUAAAAAACUAAAAUAAUGCGUCACUUUGAUGUUUGAUCCUUAUUCAGUGCUUAUAAGUUUUGUCCAAUAUGUUUUUUAAGAUCUUAUUAUAUUUAAAUGAAUAUUCGUGACUAUGUUGAAUAUUAAUAUUUAUUUAUAUAAUUAAACACUACAGUAUGCUGGUGUGUGGUAUCAGAUCGCACUUACUGAAACCUUGUUUCAGCCGCUCAGUCAAUGUGUUCUCAAUGAAUAUUCCUUCGGUGAAAAGCAGUUUAAUGUUAUUUCAUCUGGUGUGAGUGCUGAGGGUAGUUUGUUGAAGAUCCAUGGUAAAGUGUAUCCUAGUCCCGUGGGUGAACCUGAGCUCAGUGUAGACUUCCAGCAGUCAUUUCCCGCCCCGUACGUCAUCCUGAAGACGGACUACACUAACUAUGCCUGUGUGUACUCCUGCAUCGGUUUAAACUCUGAUUACUACACAGACGUUGCUUUUAUCUUAGCUCGCUCACCCACUCCGGAAGACAGG